rnacentral:rRNA from 1 species
ACAGAGGUCUCAAGCGUUGUUCGGAAUCACUGGGCGUAAAGGGUGCGUAGGUGGCGUGGAAAGUCAGAUGUGAAAGCCCGGGGCUCAACCUCGGAAUUGCAUCCGAUACUACCAUGCUAGAGUAUUGGAGAGGAGUCUAGAAUUCACGGUGUAGCAGUGAAAUGCGUAGAUAUCGUGAGGAAUACCAAAGGCGUAAGCAGGACUCUGGACAAUUACUGACACUGAGGCACGAAGGCUAGGGGAGCGAACGGG